AGGAUCUAUGAGAGGGCAAGUCUGGUGCCAGCAGCCGCGGUAAUUCCAGCUCUCAAAGUGUAUAUCGUCAUUGCUGCGGUUAAAAAGCUCGUAGUUGGAUCUGCGUCUCAGGACCUGGUCCAUCCAAUUGGAUGAGAACUGGGCUCCUAGGCUAAUAUUGCCAGUUUUUCAUAUGUUACCUUGAUUGGUUGCAUAUGGUAGCUAGCAAGUUUACCUUGAAAAAAUUAGAGUGCUCAAUGCGGGCUAAUGCCUGAAUACUCGUGCAUGGAAUAAUGAAAUAGGAUCUCGGUUCUAUUUUGUUGGUUUUCUGAUCUGAGAUAAUGGUUAAGAGGGACGGACGGGGGCAUUCGUAUCGCUACGUGAGAGGUGAAAUUCUUGGACCGUAGCGAGACGUACGACUGCGAAAGCAUUUGCCAAGAAUGUCUUCAUUAAUCAAGAACGAAAGUCAGAGGUUCGAAGGCGAUCAGAUACCGCC
rnacentral:rRNA from 1 species